AUUGAACGCUGGCGGCAUGCCUUACACAUGCAAGUCGAACGGCAGCACGGGUGCUUGCACCUGGUGGCGAGUGGCGAACGGGUGAGUAAUACAUCGGAACAUGUCCUGUAGUGGGGGAUAGCCCGGCGAAAGCCGGAUUAAUACCGCAUACGAUCUACGGAUGAAAGCGGGGGACCUUCGGGCCUCGCGCUAUAGGGUUGGCCGAUGGCUGAUUAGCUAGUUGGUGGGGCAAAGGCCUACCAAGGCGACGAUCAGUAGCUGGUCUGAGAGGACGACCAGCCACACUGGGACUGAGACACGGCCCAGACUCCUACGGGAGGCAGCAGUGGGGAAUUUUGGACAAUGGGCGAAAGCCUGAUCCAGCAAUGCCGCGUGUGUGAAGAAGGCCUUCGGGUUGUAAAGCACUUUUGUCCGGAAAGAAAUCCUUGGCCCUAAUACGGUCGGGGGAUGACGGUACCGGAAGAAUAAGCACCGGCUAACUACGUG
rnacentral:rRNA from 1 species